rnacentral:rRNA from 1 species
AUGCUCUUACUUUCUGUAUGGAGCUGGGAGCGAUUGCCGGUUGGACGACCGAAGACCGUGAAGUACGAGGAUUGGGACGACAAAGACGACCCACUACGGUUCCUCACUUGGGCUUACAAGUGGGAUGUGUUAAAUGAGACGACAGAUGAUCCCUUGGUCAUGUACAAGUUGUACACGAGCGAGAUGGACACGAUUACGACUGAGCAGGUGACUUGA